rnacentral:rRNA from 1 species
GGGGUACACGAGUGGCGAACGGGUGAGUAACACGUGGGUAAUCUGCCCUGCACAUCGGGAUAAGCCUGGGAAACUGGGUCUAAUACCGAAUAGGACCACAGAACACAUGUCCUGUGGUGGAAAGCUUUUGCGGUGUGGGAUGGGCCCGCGGCCUAUCAGCUUGUUGGUGGGGUGAUGGCCCACCAAGGCGACGACGGGUAUCCGGCCUGAGAGGGUGUCCGGCCACACUGGGACUGAGAUACGGCCCAGACUCCUACGGGAGGCAGCAGUGGGGAAUAUUGCACAAUGGGCGAAAGCCUGAUGCAGCGACGCCGCGUGGGGGAUGACGGCCUUCGGGUUGUAAACCUCUUUCACCAUCGACGAAGGUUCGGGUUUUCUCGGAUUGACGGUAGGUGGAGAAGAAGCACCGGCCAACUACGUGCCAGCAGCCGCGGUAAUACGUAGGGUGCGAGCGUUGUCCGGAAUUACUGGGCGUAAAGAGCUCGUAGGUGGUUUGUCGCGUUGUUCGUGAAAUCUCACGGCUUAACUGUGAGCGUGCGGGCGAUACGGGCAGACUUGAGUACUGCAGGGGAGACUGGAAUUCCUGGUGUAGCGGUGGAAUGCGCAGAUAUCAGGAGGAACACCGGUGGCGAAGGCGGGUCUCUGGGCAGUAACUGACGCUGAGGAGCGAAAGCGUGGGGAGCGAACAGGAUUAGAUACCCUGGUAGUCCACGCCGUAAACGGUGGGUACUAGGUGUGGGUUUCCUUCCUUGGGAUCCGUGCCGUAGCUAACGCAUUAAGUACCCCGCCUGGGGAGUACGGCCGCAAGGCUAAAACUCAAAGAAAUUGACGGGGGCCCGCACAAGCGGCGGAGCAUGUGGAUUAAUUCGAUGCAACGCGAAGAACCUUACCUGGGUUUGACAUGCACAGGACGCCGGCAGAGAUGUCGGUUCCCUUGUGGCCUGUGUGCAGGUGGUGCAUGGCUGUCGUCAGCUCGUGUCGUGAGAUGUUGGGUUAAGUCCCGCAACGAGCGCAACCCUUGUCUCAUGUUGCCAGCGGGUAAUGCCGGGGACUCGUGAGAGACUGCCGGGGUCAACUCGGAGGAAGGUGGGGAUGACGUCAAGUCAUCAUGCCCCUUAUGUCCAGGGCUUCACACAUGCUACAAUGGCCGGUACAAAGGGCUGCGAUGCCGCGAGGUUAAGCGAAUCCUUUUAAAGCCGGUCUCAGUUCGGAUCGGGGUCUGCAACUCGACCCCGUGAAGUCGGAGUCGCUAGUAAUCGCAGAUCAGCAACGCUGCGGUGAAUACGUUCCCGGGCCUUGUACACACCGCCCGUCACGUCAUGAAAGUCGGUAACCCCCGAAGCCANUNGCCUAACCC